rnacentral:rRNA from 1 species
UACGUAGGGGGCUAGCGUUAUCCGGAAUUACUGGGCGUAAAGGGUGCGUAGGUGGUUUCUUAAGUCAGAGGUGAAAGGCUACGGCUCAACCGUAGUAAGCCUUUGAAACUGGGAAACUUGAGUGCAGGAGAGGAGAGUGGAAUUCCUAGUGUAGCGGUGAAAUGCGUAGAUAUUAGGAGGAACACCAGUUGCGAAGGCGGCUCUCUGGACUGUAACUGACACUGGAGGCACGAAAGCGUGGGGACGCAAACAGG